rnacentral:rRNA from 1 species
AUGAAAAGGCCCAAGCUUAGGGAUGCUAUGUUUGAUGAAGAUGAUGUUUUUGAGAAUAUAUUUGCUGCAAUUAAUGUUUGUCCCAAGCUUGGGGAUGCUACGUUUAAUAAAGGUGAUAUUUGUAGUCUCCCAAGUUUUGAUAUGCAAAUUUGUUAUAAUGAUAGCAUGCCUCCUACUUAUGAUGAUUAUAUUGAUGAAAGUGGGUUUGGAAGAGUGUCAACUUUAGGAAGUAGUAACCCCACUAUUUUGGAGGAUGUUGAAUCUCAUUGUGAUAAUUAUGGAAGUGGAUUUGGAGAGGUUGUGACUUUAUUUAGUAAUGAUUCCACUACCUUGGAAGAGGUUUCAAUUGAUUAUGAUGAGAACAAAGUUGCUACUUAUGAUGAUUAUUGUGAUGAAACUUAUGCUAUAAAAAGUAGUGAUGAUUAUAUUUAUAAAACUUGUCAUGAUUAUGAUUACCCUUUCUCUCAACAUUACUCUUUUAAUGUGGAAACAAUUUAUAGUAUCCGAGUCUCUUAUGAUACUCCCACUAUUAUUCAUGAGAAGAAAUUUGCUUAUGUAGAGUGUAGUAAAUUUUCUAUGCUUGUAGAUCAUGAAAAGAAUGCUUUAGGUGAUGGUUAUAUUGUUGAAUUCAUUCAUGAUUCUACUGAAAAUUAUUAUGAGGGAGGAACAUAUGCUUGCAGGAAUUGCAAUAAUAUCAAGUUUCCUCUCUAUGUGCUUAAAGUUUUAAAGUUAUGCUUGUUUUACCUUCCUAUGCAAGUUGAUUCUUGUUCUCACAAGUUGUUUGCUCACAAAAUCCCUAUGCAUAGUAAGUGGGUUAGACUUAAAUGUGCUAGUUAUAUUCUUCAUGAUGCUCUCUUUAUGUUUCAAUUCUUAUCUUUUAUACGAGCAUCAUUGAAAUCAUCAUGCCUAGCUAGGGGCGUUAAACGAUAG